rnacentral:rRNA from 1 species
CUGAACCAGCCAAGUAGCGUGAAGGAUGACUGCCCUAUGGGUUGUAAACUUCUUUUAUAUGGGAAUAAAGUGGGCCACGUGUGGCUUUUUGUAUGUACCAUAUGAAUAAGGAUCGGCUAACUCCGUGCCAGCAGCCGCGGUAAUACGGAGGAUCCGAGCGUUAUCCGGAUUU